GCAAGUCGAGCGGUAACAGGGGGUGCUUGCACCCCGCUGACGAGCGGCGGACGGGUGAGUAAUGCUUAGGAAUCUGCCCAGUAGUGGGGGACAACAGUCGGAAACGGCUGCUAAUACCGCAUACGCCCUACGGGGGAAAGCAGGGGAUCUUCGGACCUUGCGCUAUUGGAUGAGCCUAAGUCGGAUUAGCUAGUUGGUAGGGUAAAGGCCUACCAAGGCGACGAUCCGUAGCUGGUCUGAGAGGAUGAUCAGCCACAUCGGGACUGAGACACGGCCCGAACUCCUACGGGAGGCAGCAGUGGGGAAUAUUGGACAAUGGGGGCAACCCUGAUCCAGCCAUCCCGUGUGUGCGAUGAAGGCCUUCGGGUUGUAAAGCACUUUUGGCAGGGAAGAAACAGCCUGGGCUAAUACCCUGGGUCAAUGACGGUACCUGCAGAAUAAGCACCGGCUAACUACGUGCCAGCAGCCGCGGUAAUACGUAGGGUGCAAGCGUUAAUCGGAAUUACUGGGCGUAAAGCGUGCGCAGGCGGUUCGGAAAGAAAGGUGUGAAAUCCCAGGGCUUAACCUUGGAACUGCACUUUUAACUACCGGGCUAGAGUACGUCAGAGGGGGGUAGAAUUCCACGUGUAGCAGUGAAAUGCGUAGAGAUGUGGAGGAAUACCGACGGCGAAGGCAGCCCCUGGGAUGAUACUGACGCUCAUGCACGAAAGCGUGGGGAGCAAACAGGAUUAGAUACCCUGGUAGUCCACGCCCUAAACGAUGUCAACUAGCUGUUGGGGUUUAUUAACCUUAGUAGCGCAGCUAACGCGUGAAGUUGACCGCCUGGGGAGUACGGUCGCAGAUUACACUCAAGGAAUUGACGGAA
rnacentral:rRNA from 1 species